rnacentral:rRNA from 1 species
UAGGGAAUUUUCCACAAUGGGCGAAAGCCUGAUGGAGCAACGCCGCGUGCAGGAUGAAUGCCUUCGGGUUGUAAACUGCUUUUAUUAGUGAAGAAUAUGACGGUAACUAAUGAAUAAGGGUCGGCUAACUACGUGCCAGCAGCCGCGGUCAUACGUAGGACCCAAGCGUUAUCCGGAAUUACUGGGCGUAAAGAGUUGCGUAGGUGGCAUAAUAAGUGGAUCGUGAAAGCGUGCGGCUCAACCGCAAAUCCGCGUUCCAAACUAUUAAGCUUGAGUAUGAGAGAGGUAGAUGGAAUUUCUAGUGUAGGAGUGAAAUCCGUAGAUAUUAGAAGGAACACCGAUGGCGUAGGCAGUCUACUGGCUCAUUACUGACACUAAGGCACGAAAGCGUGGGGAGCGAACA